rnacentral:misc_RNA from 1 species
UUAAGUUCAGCGGGUAUUCCUACCUGAUUCGAGGUCAACCAUUGAAUAGAUGGGGGUUUUCCGGCAGGACAACGACCCGGACCCAGAACGAGAGAAAACUACUGCGUUCGGUUUCGGGGCGCCGCCGCCGCUCGCUUUGGGAGGCUGCGUGCGCAGUCCUCCAACGCCAGGCAGGGCCUGAGGGUUGAAAUGACGCUCGA